AUUUAACCUAUUUAAGGAAAAGUUAAAUUUUUAACAAUGAAUUUUAAUUGAAGUUGUCAAUAAUGCUAUUGAAGGUCUAUAUGUAUAUCAAAGAAAAUUCAAAUAGGAAUGUAAUGUACAUACAUAUGUACAUAUAUGUACUUCAUAAAUGUAAGAAGGGCUGAACUAGUUUUAAAACGACUGAAGUUGUUGAAAUGAAAGGAAACAAAAGAAAACCAUGCUGGCAUAAAAAGAAAUAUAAGCGAAGUGGAUGAAGUUAAUAAGUGGCUAUUACAAACAAGCCGUACAAUCUCACCGGAAUAGGAAAAUAAUAAAUAACAAGGCCGCUUUCUGUUCAUUCUUGUGAGAAAACCGAAAAUGUGCCAUUAAAAUAUUUUAUUAUAUCGAGCAUCUUACACUAAAUAAUUUGGAAAGACAACCGCAUAAAAGAUGAAAACAUUAAAUAUAAAAUAUUUAGAUCAAUUGAAAUUUUAGAUAAUGCAGUUUCGCCUUUUUUCAAUUAAAAUUUAACAAAAAAAAAUUUAAAACAUUACUCAAAAUAAAAAAAAAACAAUAUUUCAAGUUCUUGUUACUACUCAAGUUAUGAUAAUUAAAGAAAAAUUAAAAUCUCACAGAACACAAAAAAAGUGAGGAAGAUGAGGUAUCCUGUCGAGAAGGUAAAUAAUAAUUUGGAAAGUCUACAAAAUUCGAAUAACUAAAGGAAGUCGGAAAUUGAAAUAUAAGAAAUUUGCAUCAGCAAAUGUGCGAGAUUAUCGAAUUUUUAAAAAAUAUCACAGUAAGGUACAAAUUUAGCUGCAUUUGAAUACACUCAUUGGAAAGAACAGCUCAGUUAAUAACACCUUUAGAAAAAGACUUUGUGAAUAUUAUGGUGAACUUGCAACUUAGCGUGCAGCUGGAACAUUCAAAGUAUCGCAAACCUAUUGUUACAGUGCUCACACACGUUGUGAUCUUGAGAUUUAUAGAAAAAAUCUAAAAUAAGGCGAUAAAAAAAACUGAUCUGAAGAAAAACAAAAAUAUAAUAUAUGUAUAAAGUAUAUUUCAGGUUUGCAGUGUUGUUUUUGACAUAUUGCCAGGCAGGCAGGCAAAUAUUAAAAAAUUCACAUAAUUUGGAUUUUUACAAAUUUAAAUUUUAGAUUACAUGAGGGUGCGAUUGAAUUUAUUUUUCAGAGAAAAAUUCUCAACUUUGAUUGAAGCUUAUUCCGGAGAAGAAGAUGAAGAUUUAGUAAAGUACACAGACUGGGAUAUGUGCGUAUUGGUUGCUCAUAUGAAAACAACAUUAUCCUGAAUAUGCAUAAUUUUGAUACUUAAGACAUCACAUACACUUAAAAUAUUUCUCCGUUUUAUGGAUUAAGUUCUUCAUACAAUAUUAUAUGAAAUGUUAUUAAUGAGGAUAUCAUUUUAAAUUUUUGAAGUGACAUUAAAAUUUGUCAUGUACAUAUAUGCACAUAGUUGCAUUAACAUAUUGAAAGAAAUUUAUAAUCGAGUCAAAAAUUAUAUUACAAAAUAUAGUCUAUUAAAGAGAACCUUAAAGAAAAUAAAAAUGGGAACUGUAUAUUGUAAGGAGCAUAAGUACACAAUAAAUUAUAUCCUUAAUUAUUUUUUAAGGAUAAUUUACAAGCAAGAAGAAAUAUGACUUGUGAAGUGCUGUUCUAAAUAUCUACCAAACUCUGGAUCAAUUUAUUUUUGAGUUAUUGUGUAGGCUGUACUAUGAAAUGAAAUAUGUAAAAUCAGAGGCUGCAUAAGUGAUGAAAUGGAGGAUAAAUAGCAAAUAGCAAGUUGUUAUUUGAUUUUUGCAGAAGUGUAAGAAAGAAGGGAAAGAAGUAAAACCAAAUUUUAAGGUUGAAAGUGCAACACUAUACAAUGUCGUUAUAUAAGGCAAGAAAUGUGAAAUUUUCACUUAAUCGCUAUUACUUUGAUAACUUAUAACAUCACAAUGUUUCAUGCGAGACUUUAAGUUGACGGUUAUAUAUUUUGGAAUUUAAUUAUGAAGUCUUUUAAGUUAAAAAACAUUUGAACACAGAAAAUAAUUGAGGCGAAAACGAGAUUUUUUAUAAUACAAUAAAAAAUAUCAAAAUAUACACAACUGUAAUAAAAAUUUCUAUAACAAUGAGCCAACUAUUAAAUUAUGUGGCAAACUUAAUUCAAUUAUUUGGUUUUAUAAAUUAUCGCUCUACUGUAUUCACAAAUCUUCAGAAAUUUUGAAAUAUUGGUUUAUGGAAAACUUAACAAAUAAUGCUAAAACACCUCUCCACAUCAUUUUGAAUGCAACGAUUACAGGACAGCUUUUUUAAGUUUAACUCAACGCAGUAGAACAAAACUCAGCAUAAAAAAUCUGAUGUGAUCAGCACAUAACCGAGCGCAAUGUUUAUUUUCUAGUUUAGCGAAAGUGUAACAGAAGAUUAUGAAAAUACUACUUUAAUACUUCUUUUUUAAGGACGAUAGUAAGCUUUUAGUUAACGUACCUGGAAAAAUGUAAAUUUGGCUUUUAGUAGAGUUUCGCUUUGUGUCAUCUGGAUUCCCUUCAGAGCAGUUUGCCAGUUAGCUUCGGCUACAACCAGAACUCAAAUAUUUUAAAAAAUUCUAUCAAUUGGCUUCGAGGACAUGGUAAAAAAUAUAAAAUCGACCCUCACUUCGAUUUCUGAGCCCCGAUUUUUCAAAAAAAUUUAUAGGUUCAUUGUUUUAACACCCCGAAUUUAAGUAUUAAAUUUCAAAGAAACUUGUUGAUUAUUUCUUCUUACAUGCGCAAAAAUGUAAAAUCGGCUCGCAAAAAAGUUCAGUUCCAGAGACCCGAUAAACCUCAAAACCACAGCCAAGAUCAAUUAUAAUGCAAAAUUGCAAUCCGUACCCCAGCCAAGAUCAAUUAUAAUGAAAAAUUUCAUCAAAGUUGGUUCAGCCGAACUUGAGAUACACGCGUGCAGACAGAUUGUCACCUAUCUAACAAUAGUUUAUUCAGGCUUCCCUAUCAUAGAGAAGGGCGUUCCGACCAAAAACCUCGACAUCCGAAAUUUAGUGCCAUCACAUAACCGUCCUUAUUGUAUGCAAAAUGGUCGGUAAAAAGAAACUGCAAAUAAAUGAAAAAGUGCAUUGCAAUUACAGGAAAGCAUUACGGAACAUAAAAAAUCUAGAAAUAGAAAAGAAAAUAAAGAAUCUGACAUCACAAUUUUUAGACAUUUUUCAUUCUGUUUCUUAUUUUCUCUAUCAUUUUAUUCCAUCCAUAAAGAACAUAAUAAACAGUAAGUCAACACUGUACUGGAGACCAAAAAUAUGAAAACAGCAAAAUAUAAAACCAAGUGGAAAGCAUAGAAGCGUGGAAGGAGGUCUAACAAUGUUACUUACAUAAUAUAAAAAUAAUGCCGAAAAGAAAAUCUAGUGAAACUGAAUGAAUUUUUAAAUCCCCAAUUCUACUUGUGGGUUUUUUAUUUGCCUUUUUCAUUUAAAAAACACUAACACAAAAAUAAAGUGAAAAAAGUGUAAAAAUUAUAUAAAGAGUGUUGUAAAAAGUAAGAAAAAUGAAAAUCUAAAUAAAAUGAACUGAAUAGCCUAGAUGUCACUCAAAUCGCAAAGUGUAAAAAUAAAAAAAUUCUUUGAUGUGCACUUGCGUUUAAAAAGCCUGGCAUUGUAAACAUUUAAGUGGUUUUUCCAAUUUAGAUUUUAAAAUAUGUAAGUAUAAAGAAAAUAAAAAGUGAAUUUUAAAGAGUUUAAUUACAUACAAACGUUGCUUUGACAAAAAAAUCUGAAAAAUUCUCAUUUUAAUUUCAUUUUGACUCUAAAAUUAUUUGAGGUAAUCGGAGUUUUUUAUGUCGUUAUAUAAUGCACUUUUAAAUUAAAAGAAUUUUGUAAAAACAUUAAAAAUGAUUUAAAUAAAUGUGUUUUUAUGUUAGCUAUUUUGAAAUUUGUAGAAAACAUAUAGAACUUAUUGUAUAUUUCGGUGUUCUACUUGCUAAAUAAGAGUGUGCGAGUAAAAUUCACUUUAUUUUUCAUAAAAACUAAUAUAUUUACUCAUAUUCAUAUUUCGGAUUAAAUUGAUAUGGAAAAUAAUUGACUACUUCUGUGAAACGAUGACUUUGGGCUGUUCCAAAUCUACGGGCUACCACGUAAAGUAUUAAAUUUAACAAUUGUAGCUGCAUUUUAUUUUUUUGCGUAAUAUUAGAUUAAAAAAACUAAUUUUGAAAAGUUUUUGUCCCUUUUCUUUUGUGGUUUCCUCAUUAGAAAAAUUAUUUUAACGCAAUUAUGCUCUAUAAAGGAUUAAUAAACGGACAUUUGGAAAAAAAAUCAAAAUCAUUGCAUGCCAUGCAACUUAUUAAAGACUGGAAAUAAAUUUUUUAAAAUUUUUUCAUUUUGAAAAGACUCUUUACAUUUUGUACGUGUAAAGUUAGAAGAUAGGUAAAAUCAAUAAUGGGUGUGAAGCUACGGACAUUUGCAAUGAUCACUUACUCCUAACUGCGGACAUAAGCUGCUAAAAGGAGCACGAAUGGAAGCAGGAUGAGAAAGCUUGACACUUAUGAGAAAUCAGCAAGAACUACAAAUUAAGAACUGCAAAUUAAGACCGGUAAGGAAAAAGUUUGGCAGUCUACUUAUAUCAAUUCAAAAACAAUUGGCGAGAUACUGAAUUUGAAACCAAGAAUUAUACAUUAGAGAUAAGACAACAAUUGACGAGGGGCACCAAAUAUAAAAGAAAUAGUGGACGUAAUUAGAAAAGUCAGAUAUUCCACCUGAACUGUUUAAAGCAGGAAAGAUUACAACAGCCAAUGCACUGUAAACAAUAAUAGAAAUACAAUAAAUCAUUAACAGAAAAAAUAUAGCAAGACGAAAAAAUCUUCAAAGACUGGAAAACGGGACUAUUGAUCAACCUAAUCAAAAAAGGUUUUAGGUCAACCUAAUCAAAAUGUCGUAAUCAGAGAGAUAUAAAAAUGUUUUAAUGUAAUCGCUAGUAUUGUGAUAUGAUAUUAUAUAAGACAGGAUAGUAGGAAAGUUCGACAAAAGUCUAAGAGAAGCAUGCGGACUUUCAAUCGUUUUAUUUUAAUUCCAAACAAAAAAAACACAAUUUCUUUCAUUGGAACGCUUACAACGCUUUAUUUGUUGUAAAUAUUAACAAUGCUUUACUAAAUAGAGGUGAAAAUUGCAAUAUCAUUUUUUUUGUGAGGGAUGAAAUAUUAAACAUUAUUAAAACCCAUGGUAUACAAAUACAAAAAAAUCAGCAACAAUAACGGGGGAAAACAGAGGAUAAUUUAGAAUUUAAUGCAAACUCAUUAUUCGGCAAAUAAAAUAUCACCGUAAAUAAUAAUAAAACGGUAACAAAAAAUAAAGCGUACACAUACCAUAAUGAUAAAUGAUAUCCUAAAAAAAAAUUUUCCUUUCAUCAAAGAAAAAACAAAUCAUUAUAAUAAGACAUAUUUUUACAGAGAAUCAAGGAAAAAAAAGGAUAUUUAAUGGUCUCCCGGUUUUCUCUCCGGUUAUGAUUAUACAUAUAUUUUUGUUUAAAAAACUGUAAAAGGCGAGUCAGUAUAAGAAAAUUAAUAUUGCGGACACAAUGACAUUACACAAAAAAUAAAAAAAAUUAAAAUGACAUUUAAGUAAAUUAAUCAUAUGUCAAUAUUUGACAUUAAAAUUUUGAAAAGAAGUUAAGUUUAUUUUAUGAAAAAAAUAUGUUUUAAUAGCAAAAAUAUUAUAAAAGUGAGUAAAUAAUAGCGGUAGGUUGGUCCUCCAG